rnacentral:lncRNA from 1 species
CGGGCCGCCCCAUCCCUACAGGGCUCCUCGCACCUACCCCAGCAACUCAAAUUCACCACCUCGGACUCCUGCGACCGCAUCAAAGACGAAUUUCAGCUACUGCAAGCUCAGUACCACACCUCAAGCUCGAAUGUGACAAGUUGGCCAGUGAGAAGUCAGAGAUGCAGCGUCACUAUGUGAUUACUACGAGAUGUCCUACGGCUUGAACAUCGAGAUGCACAAACAGCUGAGAUCGUCAAAAGGCUGAACGGGAUUUGUGCCCAGGUCCUGCCCUACCUCUCCCAAGACACCAGCAGCAGGUCUUGGGAGCCAUUGAGAGGGCCAAGCAGGUCACCGCUCCCGAGCUGAACUCUAUCAUCCGCAGCUCCAAGCCCACCAGCUGUCCCAGCUGCAGGCCCUGGCCCUGCCCUUGACCCCACUACCCGUGGGGCUGCAGCCGCCUUCGCUGCCGGCGGUCAGCGCAGGCACCGGCCUCCUCUCGCUGUCCGCGCUGGGUUCCCAGGCCCACCUCUCCAAGGAAGACAAGAACGG